AGCGAACGCUGGCGGCAGGCCUAACACAUGCAAGUCGAACGGGCCCCUUCGGGGGUCAGUGGCAGACGGGUGAGUAACGCGUGGGAACGUGCCCUUCAGUUCGGAACAACCCAGGGAAACUUGGGCUAAUACCGGAUACGCCCUUCGGGGGAAAGAUUCAUCGCUGAAGGAUCGGCCCGCGUCUGAUUAGCUUGUUGGUGGGGUAAUGGCCCACCAAGGCGACGAUCAGUAGCUGGUCUGAGAGGAUGAUCAGCCACACUGGGACUGAGACACGGCCCAGACUCCUACGGGAGGCAGCAGUGGGGAAUAUUGGACAAUGGGCGAAAGCCUGAUCCAGCCAUGCCGCGUGAGUGAUGAAGGCCCUAGGGUUGUAAAGCUCUUUCGGCGGGGACGAUAAUGACGGUACCCGCAGAAGAAGCCCCGGCUAACUUCGUGCCAGCCGCCGCGGUAAAAC
rnacentral:rRNA from 1 species